UUGACAGUUUGGCUUCCCUGUUCUGGGUGGCAAAGCCUGUGGAGUACUCACCUACCUGCUGCAUGAAGGCAGCAUGGAGGGACUGUGGUGGAUUAUCUGCAAAGAUGGCCAAAAUUCUCUCAUCCCUGCAGGCACAUACAAGAGAAGAACUGAAGCUCAGCUAUUCACCCUACAGAAAGCCUGAAUUUUGUAAAAGUUCUGCUUAGAAUGAGGAAGAAAGAUGAAGAAUGAGGAGGAAGAAGGGAGGAACAAGAGAGAGAGGUUGUUGCAUGGCAUAAGUAAAAUGACAGCCAAAGGAUACAUGCAACUUUUCAGGGACAAAGAUCUGUGCAGCAUCGACAGUACUGCCUAAUGAGGUUUCACCAUAAUGAAGUAUUACAACCAGUUUACAGACCAGAAAACUGAGACACAGGAAGGGGUGGUGACUUGAGCAAGGUGCAUCAGCUGCCAGGUUUCCAGAAGUUCCCCAGUCAUUGAGCAUUUCUGAGGCUCUUGAUGCAUAUGCCAAGUAGUUAUGGAGAAAGACACAGCAGCUUACCUCUGCAGGCAUCAUUGUGUGAAAGGAAGACCCAGGCUCUCUCACCACCCUUCAACAGAAGCCUUUUGCUAAGGUGAUAGCUACAUGUCCAAGCCUAUUGCGUGGCAUGCAUUUUGCCUUCUGCAGCCCACUAAAGGUGAGCAGUAAAUGUGUUUGCUAUUUCCCCAAAAGGAAAUUGAGGUAUACGGAAUGCUUAUUUGGUUUACUCAGUAUCAUCCUAAAUGUAUGUACCAAUGCUUAGGAGUUUGCAGUUCACCCGCAAACCUCAGCGAUCCAAGCUCCCCUGGAUGACCAUCACUCACCAAGAAAAGAACAAUAACAGGACCUGUUUUGCUAAUCCAGGACUGUUCUCCAGCACUAACUCUAAAUAAUCCCUUCU
rnacentral:lncRNA from 1 species